GUUUCUGUAGUGUAGUGGUUAUCACAUUCACAUAACACACAAAAGAUCCCUGUUUCGAAACCAGGCAGAAACA